GACGAACGCUGGCGGCGUGCUUAACACAUGCAAGUCGAACGGAAAGGCCUUUUCGGAGGUACUCGAGUGGCUAACGGGUGAGUAACACGUGGGUGAUCUGCCCUGCACUCUGGGAUAAGCCUGGUCAACUGGGUCUAAUACCGGAUAGGACCGCACUCUAGUGUGUUUGGUGGAAAGUUUUUUCGGUGUAGGAUGAGCCCGCGGCCUAUCAGCUUGUUGGUGGGGUAAUGGCCUACCAAGGCGGCGACGGGUAGCCGGACUGAGAGGUUGGUCGGCCACAUUGGGACUGAGAUACGGCCCAGACUCCUACGGGAGGCAGCAGUGGGGAAUAUUGCACAAUGGGCGCAAGCCUGAUGCAGCGACGCCGCGUGGGGGAUGACGGCCUUCGGGUUGUAAACUCCUUGCGACAGGGACGAAGCGUUUUGUGACGGUACCUGGAGAAGAAGCACCGGCUAACUACGUG
rnacentral:rRNA from 1 species